AAAAGCAUCUGAAGUUGAGUAAACAUGAAGUAUUUCCUCGUACUAGUUUUUACACUUACUUUGCUAAGUGGCAGCGUUCUGGCAGAUAUUCCAUGGUUAUUGGAUAUCGUUGGUAUCGGUAAAAGACCAACCCCAAUUCCAAUCCCGAUGCCGCAACCUGUUCCUAUUCCACAAUAUAAUCCGAGUAUGAUGAUGCCACCGGGUCAUUUUGGACUUGGUUCCAUGUUUUAUUAGUAGCAAUAGAAUUGUUGAAUUGUGAGAAAUCACAAAGCUACCAAUAAAUUGGUCCAAAAAAUAA